CUUUGCUGAUACAUUUUUUUUUUUUUAAAGGUUCUAUCUACUCUUUUGACAGACAGAGAUCACAAGUAGGCAGAGAGAGAGGAAGGAAAGCAGGCUCCCCGCUGAACAGAGAAGCCUGACGCCGGGCUCGAUCCCAGGACCCUGAGACCAUGACCCUGAGACCAUGACCCGAGCUGAAGGCAGAGGCCCCAACCCACUGAGCCACCCAGGCGCCCCAGCUGACACAUUUUUAACUUCUGACUUUUCAUCCUCCUGAAAACUUGGACCACAAAGGAGUGUGUUUCACCUUGCUGGGUGUAUGAAAAUACAGCUGCUGUCACAGUCCCUGUGCUUCCUGCCAUCGAACCCGGCAUGUUCAAAGGAGGGAAAGCUGGGUGCCGACUAGCUGGGAGACGGGGCAGGAGCCAAGGGAGGAGAAGAAGGAAGAAGAAAAGAACCUAAGAGAUUCUUCUCAUCGUUGCCCAACCCCCAUUCUCUAGACCUGAGCUGUGUGAUUAGCUGUGUGUGACUAUGUGUAUUAAGAGUAAAUGAAAUAAAAAACCUAGUUCC
rnacentral:lncRNA from 1 species